CACCAUCCCCAACACCUGGCUCCAGGCACCCCAAGUGACACUCCCCUGUCCAGCACAUCUUUGAUGGAGCUUGAAGAAAUCAUGGUGAAAGAGAUAAUAAAUUGCAGCUGUCAAGUUCUCUACAGAAAAGUGGAAUUCCAGCAGCUGACCUUCCUCAUACAACGUUCCACCCCCUGGCAUUCUUCCGUGGACAUCUGCUUUGGACUGGCAUUUCUAUCGGACUCACUGGUACAA